AGUUAUUUAGCUUAUAAAUUAAAGUAUAUAUUUUGAAAAUAUAAGAAAGAGAAUAAUUUAAUAACUU
rnacentral:tRNA from 1 species